UGGACUUUACCUCAAUAUACUCGGUAUAUACUCAAUAUACUCAAUAUGUUCAGGAUUCUUGACUGAUAAUCCUGCCUGUAAGUAAUAGAAUAUUAGAGAUGGUCAGUAUUGUCAGAGAUAACAAGAUCUGCUGCUCACCUAGGAUUCUGACUUGUGCUACUGCUUGGGAAGUGAUUCUCUGGAAACACAAAGAAAGCCCAACCAAGCUCCCCAGCCCUCUCUGCUCACAGCAACAAACUGGGGAUUCUGUCUUAAACAGAAAUAUGAUUUAUCCAUUAGAAUCUUUCCCCAACCCAGUGACACUUUGCUUGACCCAUUGUUCUUGGAGCUAAAGGACUUGAGGUCACUCUGAGAAGGUGUUGAAUCAUAAGAUUUGGUCCAGACUUGAAUAUAUUUUGAAUAAAAGUAAUGAGGGAGAAAAUAACUAUCUAUUUUUAGUUUCCAAAUUUUUCCUCAACUCCCAUCUGGAUAUAGGAGAAAGUCAAACAUUACAAUGUAUAACUACAUUAUAGUUUUAGGGUUAAUAUGUUUUAUGAUAAAAGUAAUCUCAAUUAAGGUCUGCUUGAACUGGGUCCCUUUCAUGAAAGUCUCUCAGUGGUAGAUAGACAGAAUGAGAUUUACAUGCAGACGUUAUCUGAAAUUCCCCUCUUUUAAGGGCAGCAUGGUUCAAAAGGGACUAGUAACUCAUGCUUUUAUUCAGUAAGGAAAAUAUCGCAGAAAUAAAGGAUAAAAUAGUUUCCUUGUAAUUUUUAAUUCAUCUAAAAUCAUGUGAUUCUAGUGACUUUAGUUCAUAAGACUCUUGAAAGAGGACAGAGAACCAAAUAAUAUAGUCUUUAUAGACUUCAUUUGGAAAUUAGGUAUUAUUUACCUUAAAAAUGAUUGAGAAUGUGAAUCUAGGAUUCUGCUAAGAUUACAGCUAACAAAAGGCACAAAGUAAAGUAAAAAGGGAUUGGUAACUGAUAAGCAAAUGAUAGAUGAUUGAGUGGAUAGAUACAUGAAUGGAUUAAUGAAUAGAUAGAAAAGCAGAUAGAUGGAUAAUACAGAUGAAUGAAUUAAUAGAGACACAAAUGGAUAGACAAGGAGAUGACAGAUAAUAGAAAGAUAUUCAUAGAUCAAUACAUGGUUAGUAAAUGAGUAGCGGGAUGCACAUGGAUGAAUAGAUGACUUGGAAGCAGAAUAAAUAGUUGAUAUAUAAAUGAAUAUUGGUAGAUGAAUGAAUAGAUGCUAGAGAUUGAUGAAUGCAAGGGUGAAUUUGGAAUGAAAUUGCAGAUAGAUGCAAGGGUAUGACAAUAUUAUGAUUGUACCCAACUGGAAUGGAAUACCAAUGAAGAUAAUGACAUUUCUUUUCAUGGAACUAUUUUAAAUAGUUUAACUGUUUUAGGAACGUAUGGACUGGUGGCAGAAAAUUAGUCAGUCUCGAAGAGCCCUGAAGUUUCAUAAUAAGUGUCUCAAUGAUAUAAAAAAAAUACAUGAGUGUGCCAUGAUUAGGCCACUUCUGAAUCCUCCCUAGUGCCCCAUUCUGGCCCAUUUGGCCUCU
rnacentral:lncRNA from 1 species